ensembl:lncRNA
CACGGGCACCCGAGCGAGGUGGCCAGACUGAGGCGCGGAUUGCUGUGCCGAGGUUGCAGGUGCCCCGUAGACAGACCGGCUGGGACGCCUACCCGCCAGCCUGAGUUCACACCUCUGUGGGGGAGCCAGGCGGGGAGGUGGCUACGAGAGCCCUAGGAGCGGAACGGGGAAAUUAAAAAAGAGGAAUGGGCCAAAGCGUGGGGACAAGGGAGGCGGGAAGUCCCGGAGGGCCUCUCUUUGCAGAUGACUUUAGAGUCCGGGGAUGGUAAGAGGACGGCUGCCCGGGAAGAUCUGCAGGAAGGGUGUUCCAGAAGGAACCUCCUGCCUGGAGGGGUUGCCUGGAGCCAAAGGUGUUGACUGAGAACGAUUGAUCCACUCCCAAGACUUGAUCCACAAAACACUGAACUGAGGCUGCAUGGGAAAAUGGAGCCAGAAUGCCAGCCCAGCUGUGCAUGACCUACAGCCCGUGGUCUACUGCUAUUACCUUGCUUCUCUACACGUCAUCUCUGGCCCCUGGGAAUUUACCUUGUGGACUCAGCAGAGGUUGAGAGAUCUUUAGAAGGAUGCUCUCUCUGCAGCGCUGUUUAUAAUAGAAAGUGGAAAGCACCAAAGCCAGGUUAGAGAAUAGCUAAGCAAAUCAUGGCCCACCUCACAGUAUUUGAAAAUGCUAAUUAUAAAGGUAACGGAAACACAAGGAAAGGCCAAAGAUAAUACAGUAAUUUUAAAAAGCCACAUGCAAAAUGGUCUGUACGCUAUGAUUACACUUGUGUCAAAAUACAGUCAUGUGUAGGGACUGUGAUAGAAUGUAGAAAUUCUUGUGUUGGGGAAUUCUUUAAAAUUCUUUGGUUGUUAAGGUAGUUUUUUUCUCCAUGUUCAAAAUUGUGCUUUACACUUGUUGCUAAUCUGUUACUCUAGUUAAAGCGUUAGUGUGUCUGAAUCCCUUCUCUUCCCCCCGAAAGUCUAGGUGAGGUCUGUCUGCCUCUGUGACUUUGCUCAGCCAUCACAUACCUGAUUCACGGAGUUGUCAGGCAGUGAUACACCUUCUUACAGUGCCCUGUGCCUUGUCUUCUUGGCACUUUGAACAUGUAGCGUGUACUUCACAUCCUCCACCACCAGCUACUCCCUUUAAGUACGGUAAUUCCUUCCUCCUAAGACUUAGCCCGGUACUGGAGAACCAAGAAUCAAAAGCCUCAGGUCAAUAGCGCUUCUGGGCUUUUGGAAAAAUCUAAACUCAUUGCGGGGAAUGGAGCAAUAAGGAGAGAAGGAAGAAGGGCUGUGAGAAGCUAGGAGGAAUAUUCCCAGGCCAUAUAACAGACAAGGAGCAUCUGCCUGCCCUCAAAGAAACUAGACCUCAAAGCACUAAUAAAAACCACAAUGGCGAUGGAACUAACACAAGGUGCUUAUCAUGACCCAGAAACUUAUCAUGGGAAAAAAUAAAUAAUAAAUGUACGUGUGUGUAUAUUUUCGUUUAAUCUUCA